AGGCUCUGGAGGCCUCCAUUGGUCGCUCUGGACGUCACUCAAGUUGUAUAAGCUUCACGUGUGACUCCAUGUUUCCUUCACUGCUCGGGUUUGCGCUCUCGUAGUAGCAGGGCUCUCCUUUAUUUUUUGGUGGUGUGUCAGCUCGAGCCUUCCCAGUGAGUUUAGGGGUGUGAAGAAAGUGGCGACCUCCCUAUAGAGUCCUGCGUCACUAAGCCGUGAAAGAGGCCAGGGAAGGCAAGACUUUCUCCUUUUGAAACACACACGAGGCUUUAGGAGCUAUGGAAGAUGCUUUCAUCAGUCCUCAGUGAAGAAGGAAGAAUAACCUGACCUCCUUACAUAAUUACUGGUCUCUUGAGAAGAGAAAGAAGAUUGUGACACAGUUUGAGCCAGUUAUACAGAAAAUAUUAGUAUGGUCACUUAAUGUAUAUCACAAAGCUACUUGACUUCCGGGGUCUCUCCUGUCCAACAUUCUGAUUGAUGUUCUGGCUCUCUAUAGCACCUGUUGGUAUCUUGGCAGCAUGUCAGCAAUGCAUAUGUGAAUGAAGUGGACAAAGAAUGGAAGCAAAUCUGACAUAAAUAAAAGGAAAUAAAUAUCGCUCAUAUAUAA